rnacentral:rRNA from 1 species
GACGAACCGUGCGAACGUUGUUCGGAAUCACUGGGCUUAAAGGGCGCGUAGGCGGGCUAUCAAGUCCGGGGUGAAAUCCUCCAGCUCAACUGGAGAACGGCCUCGGAUACUGAUGGUCUCGAGGGGGAUAGGGGCACACGGAACUGUGGGUGGAGCGGUGAAAUGCGUUGAUAUCCAUAGGAACUCCGGGUGGCGAAAGCGGU